CAGCGCCACGAGUGGCGACCACAAUUAUUGGGCCUAAAGCGUCCGUAGCCGGUUUUGUAAAUGCUCUGUGAAAUUGUCGGGCUCAACCCGACAACGUGCAAAGCAGACUGCAGAACUCGAGACCGGGAGGAGUCAGAAGUAUGCCUGGGGGAGCGGUAAAAUGUUAUAAUCUCAGGUAGACUACCUGUGGCGAAGGCGUCUGACUAGAACGGUUCUGACGGUGAGGGACGAAAGCCAGGGGAGCGAAAUGGAUUAGAUACCCGUGUAGUCC
rnacentral:rRNA from 1 species